ACAUACUUACACAUAGUGAAACCGCGAAUGGCUCAUUAAAUCAGUUAUGGUUCCUUAGAUCGUAAAAAUCCACUUGGAUAACUGUGGUAAUUCUAGAGCUAAUACAUGCAUCAAAACACUGACAUUAUUGUAAGUGUGCUUUUAUUAGAACAAAAUCAAUAGGAAUUUAUUCCUUUUUUUGGUGACUCUGGAUAACUUUGGGCUGAUUGCAUGGCCUUGUGCCGGCAACGUAUCUUUCAAAUGUCUGCCCUAUCAACUUUCGAAGGUAGAUGAUAUGCCUACCUUGGUUGUAACGGGUAACGGGGAAUUAGGGUUCCAUUCCGGAGAGGGCGCAUGAGAAACGGCGACCACAUCCAAGGAAGGCAGCAGGCGCGCAAAUUACCCACUCCUGGAAUGGGGAGGUAGUGACGAAAAAUAACAAUAUGAAUCUCAUUUGAGGCUUCAUAAUUGGAAUGAGUACACUUUAAAUCCUUUAACGAGGAUCAA
rnacentral:rRNA from 1 species